UACGUAGGGGGCUAGCGUUGUCCGUAAUCAUUGUGCGUAAAGCGCGUGUAGGCGGUCCGGUAAGUCCGCUGUGAAAGUCGGGGGCUCAACCCUCGGAUGCCGGUGGAUACUGUCGGGCUUGAGUACGGAAGAGGCGAGUGGAAUUCCUGGUGUAGCGGUGAAAUGCGCAGAUAUCAGGAGGAACACCAAUUGCGAAGGCAGCUCGCUGGGACGUUACUGACGCUGAGACGCGAAAGCGUGGGGAGCAAACAGG
rnacentral:rRNA from 1 species